AUUGAACGCUGGCGGCAUGCUUUACACAUGCAAGUCGAACGGUAACAGGCCGCAAGGUGCUGACGAGUGGCGAACGGGUGAGUAAUGCAUCGGAACGUGCCCAGUCGUGGGGGAUAACUACUCGAAAGAGUAGCUAAUACCGCACACGAUCUAUGGAUGAAAGCGGGGGACCGUAAGGCCUCGCGCGAUUGGAGCGGCCGAUGUCAGAUUAGGUAGUUGGUGGGGUAAAGGCUCACCAAGCCAACGAUCUGUAGCUGGUCUGAGAGGACGACCAGCCACACUGGGACUGAGACACGGCCCAGACUCCUACGGGAGGCAGCAGUGGGGAAUUUUGGACAAUGGGCGCAAGCCUGAUCCAGCAAUGCCGCGUGCAGGAAGAAGGCCUUCGGGUUGUAAACUGCUUUUGUACGGAACGAAACGGCUCUGGUUAAUACCCGGGGCUAAUGACGGUACCGUAAGAAUAAGCACCGGCUAACUACGUG
rnacentral:rRNA from 1 species